rnacentral:rRNA from 1 species
GGUGCUGCAUGGCUGUCGUCAGCUCGUGCUGUGAAGUGUUGGGUUAAGUCCCGCAACGAGCGCAACCCUCGCUGUCUGUUGCCACCACGAGAGGUGGGGACUCAGGCGGAACUGCCGGUGACAAACCGGAGGAAGGUGGGGACGGACGUCAAGUCAUCAUGGCCCUUAUGUCCUGGGCUACACACGUGCUACAAUGGCCGGUACAGAGCGCAGCGAGGCCGCGAGGCGGAGCGAAUCGCUUAAAGCCGGUCCCAGUACGGAUUGGAGUCUGCAACCCGACUCCAUGAAGUUGGAAUCGCUAGUAAUCGCGCAUCAGCAUGGCGCGGUGAAUACGUUCCCGGGCCUU